CCUCGCUAACCCUAGCUAACCCUUGUCCAAGGACAAAUUUGUCGUUCUUCGUUCUACUUCAUCAGAAGGCCAUAAACCCAUCCAAAGGCCUCGAUGGUGGAGGAGCAUUGCCGAGUUGGAUGGCAGGCUAUCUUCCAAGUAUCGCCAUGAAAUGUCUAGUUUGUUGCUUGAAUCCUAUUCUGAGUUGAUGUUGCCGGCACACUAAAUUUCGUACUGUUUCAUUCUGUGAAGAUAGGAGCUUUCAGUCAUUCGUACCACAUUGGUGGCAGGAG